CUACGGGAGGCAGCAGUGGGGAAUCUUAGACAAUGGGCGAAAGCCUGAUCUAGCCAUGCCGCGUGAGUGAUGAAGGCCCUAGGGUCGUAAAGCUCUUUCGCCAGGGAUGAUAAUGACAGUACCUGGUAAAGAAACCCCGGCUAACUCCGUGCCAGCAGCCGCGGUAAUACGGAGGGGGUUAGCGUUGUUCGGAAUUACUGGGCGUAAAGCGCACGUAGGCGGAUCAGAAAGUUGGGGGUGAAAUCCCGGGGCUCAACCCCGGAACUGCCUCCAAAACUCCUGGUCUUGAGUUCGAGAGAGGUGAGUGGAAUUCCAAGUGUAGAGGUGAAAUUCGUAGAUAUUUGGAGGAACACCAGUGGCGAAGGCGGCUCACUGGCUCGAUACUGACGCUGAGGUGCGAAAGUGUGGGGAGCAAACAGGAUUAGAUACCCUGGUAGUCCACACCGUAAACGAUGAAUGCCAGUCGUCGGGUAGUAUACUGCUCGGUGACACACCUAACGGAUUAAGCAUUCCGCCUGGGGAGUACGGUCGCAAGAUUAAAACUCAAAGGAAUUGACGGA
rnacentral:rRNA from 1 species